GGAGGGGACAGCUCAGUGGUAGAGCGCAUGCUUAGCAUGCACGAGACCCUGGGCUCAAUCCCCAGGACCUCCA
rnacentral:tRNA from 1 species